AUGGACCAACCCAUCCCUUUUUCCCGUGCAUAUGCAUUGGACUCGGAUGACGAUGGUCCCGAUGAAGAAGUUGAUGAGGAGGGGUUCACGCCGAAGGAGGCCCAAGCAUUCAAGAAGGUAUUCGGGCGGGAUCACAAGACACCAUUGUUCAAGGAUCUUAGUCUCGCGGAUGAAGCCGUUGUGGAUGGUGGCAAAUGCAUAUCUCUUGGAGCUAGGCCAAGUUCUCAC
rnacentral:rRNA from 1 species